ACCUUGCUGACGAGUGCCAAGUAGCACGAAACCCGGGUCCAGAGAU
rnacentral:hammerhead_ribozyme from 1 species